CCGGCGCACGGGUGAGUAACGCGUAUGCAACUUACCUAUCAGGAGGGGGAUAACCCGGCGAAAGUCGGACUAAUACCGCAUGAAGCAGGGGCCCCGCAUGGGGAUAUUUGCUAAAGAUUCAUCGCUGAUAGAUAGGCAUGCGUUCCAUUAGGCAGUUGGCGGGGUAACGGCCCACCAAACCGACGAUGGAUAGGGGUUCUGAGAGGAAGGUCCCCCACACUGGUACUGAGACACGGACCAGACUCCUACGGGAGGCAGCAG
rnacentral:rRNA from 1 species